AACGCAACUUGCGCCCUCUGGUAUUCCGGAGGGCAUGCCUGUUUGAGUGUCAUGUAGACUCAUCUAAUCAGAUUUUUCUGAUCAAGAUGGAUUUGGAGGUUUUUGCCUUUGUCGGCUCCUCUUAAAAGCAUUGUGCAGACGUGAUAAGUUUCGUCGUACGCGCAUUCGCCUUUACAGGCACUACUUGUACUCUGACCUCAAAUCAGGUAGGGCUACCCGCUGAACUUAA
rnacentral:misc_RNA from 1 species